rnacentral:rRNA from 1 species
GACGAACGCUGGCGGCGUGCCUAAUACAUGCAAGUUGAGCGAUGAAGAUUGGUGCUUGCACCAAUUUGAAGAGCAGCGAACGGGUGAGUAACGCGUGGGGAAUCUGCCUUUUAGCGGGGGACAACAUUUGGAAACGAAUGCUAAUACCGCAUAACAACUUUAAACAUAAGUUUUAAGUUUGAAAGAUGCAAUUGCAUCACUCAAAGAUGAUCCCGCGUUGUAUUAGCUAGUUGGUGAGGUAAAGGCUCACCAAGGCGAUGAUACAUAGCCGACCUGAGAGGGGGAUCGGCCACAUUGGGACUGAGACACGGCCCAAACUCCUACGGGAGGCAGCAGUAGGGAAUCUUCGGCAAUGGACGAAAGUCUGACCGAGCAACGCCGCGUGAGUGAAGAAGGUUUUCGGAUCGUAAAACUCUGUUGGUAGAGAAGAACGUUGGUGAGAGUGGAAAGCUCAUCAAGUGACGGUAACUACCCAGAAAGGGACGGCUAACUACGUG